AUAUGAAGUCGGACCUGCCCGGUGAAAUUUUUUAACGGCCGCGGUACUCUGACCGUGCAAAGGUAGCAUAAUCAUUUGCCUUAUAAUUGAAGGCUGGAAUGAAUGGUUUGACAAGAAUAUAGCUGUCUCUAUGCAAUUUUUUAGAAUUUUAUCUUAGGAUGAAAAAGUCCUAAUUUGAUUAAUAGACAAGAAGACCCUAUCGAGCUUAAAAAAAAUUAGUAAAACAAAACAUUAAUAAAAUUAAAAAAUAAAUUACUAAAAAUUUUGGUUGGGGCAACCGAGGAGUAAAUAAAGCCUCCUUUAUAAUUUUUAGACUUAUUAGUAUUGAUCCAAAAAUUUUGAUUAAAAGAAAUAGUUACCGUAGGGAUAACAGCAUUAUCUUUUUUGAGAGCUCUUAUCGAAAAAAAGGUUUGUGACCUCGAUGUUGGACCAGAAUAUCCUAAAGAUGCAGAAGUCUUUAAGGGUUGGUCUGUUCGACCAUUAAAAUUCUA
rnacentral:rRNA from 1 species